UACGUAGGGGGCAAGCGUUGUCCGGAAUUAUUGGGCGUAAAGAGCGCGUAGGCGGUCCGAUAAGUCGGCUGUGAAAGUCAGGGGCUCAACCUCGAGACGUCGGCGGAAACCAUCUGGCUAGAGUCCGGAAGAGGAGAGUGGAAUUCCUGGUGUAGCGGUGAAAUGCGCAGAUAUCAGGAAGAACACCCGUGGCGAAGGCGGCUCUCUGGGACGGUACUGACGCUGAGACGCGAAAGCGUGGGGAGCGAACAGG
rnacentral:rRNA from 1 species